rnacentral:piRNA from 1 species
AAUACAAAGCUAUAUUCUUAAAGAGA